UACAUUUUUGCCUUUUAAUUUAUUCGCCUGGUAAAUUAAUUACCUUGUAAAUUUAAAAAAAACUUUAAUGCAAACAGAACUAAUGGUUUUAAGCUGGAUGUAAUUGAUCUUCAGAUUCAUUGUGCAUAACAUAGAAAGAAUUAUUUUCCAACAUGAAGCUUUUCAAGUACCUUUUAAGUGGAGCUAGAAACUCUAAAAUGAAGGUUUUCAAUGAUGGCUCACAAACUUGGAAAGAAUUUGAUGGGAUAGCAGCAAUCAUCCGCAGCGUGGGCAUUAACAUUGCUCUCUUCUUAUCUGCCGGACCAUGGAACUUGCCAUAUAACUGGUCUUUCAAAUUUCAACAUAAUAACCCUACAACAGGACAGAAGUUGGAGAUGGAAAUAAACAAAGGAGGCAAAUAAUCGCCUAUGUUUGAUGGUUAAGCUUCGAAGAAGUGCAAUCAUUAUGGACACCAAAUCAAAUUUAAGACAUUGAAAAUUUACAACAAUUAUACAUUGUUCUUACUUUUUGAAAGUAAACUCGCAUUAUUAACCAUGUGCAUUUAAUUUGUUGUUUUACAUAUUUAUUUAGUUAAUUAUAAUUAUUUAGUAUAUGUUUCAGAACUUGUUGUCAAUUUUAGAAAUUGAAAACUGACAAUAAUGGAUUUAAAGAUUUUAAGCAAAGGUGAGGAAGGAAAAAACAAACCAUCGAUUCUAAAGGUACAAGUGGGGUCGUAUCGAAUGAUAGCAAGCGGGAUGGCAGCAACAAUACUUAGAAGUGGCUUUCUAGUAUCUGCAGUGGUAUUGGUUGGUGGAAUUACAUGGAAAGUGUUUCAAACAAGCAAAUAUUUUGUAGCACAAAACCAACUGGAGAAAGUAGAACGCGGUUGAGUUAUGAUGAUAAAAUUUCUUACCUAAUUUCACAGAAGAUUCUUUCUUGUUUGUGUUUUCUUUUAAACUUUAUUUAAAACUUUCAUUUUAAACCUUAUGUAAAAACUCUAAAAACAAAACAAUUGCUUUAAAAAUGAAACAGUAUUUGGUUUAAUAUAAAGUUGGAAAUAUAAAUUGUAUAAAAUUGUGAAACGUAUUUGGUAUUACAUAAGUCGUAGUUGAUUUAUCAUAAAGAAAUAUAUUUUUGUAAUAAAAUCACUGGUGAUCUGCA